rnacentral:rRNA from 1 species
UACGGAGGGGGCGAGCGUUGUCCGAAGUUACUGGGCGUAAAGCGCGCGUAGGCGGGUUGGUAAGUCCGCUGUGAAAGCCCGGAGCUUAACUCCGGAGGGUCGGUGGAUACUGCCAGUCUUGAAGGUGCUAGGGGGAGAUGGAAUUACCGGUGUAGCGGUGAAAUGCGUAGAGAUCGGUAGGAACACCAGUGGCGAAGGCGGUCUCCUGGGGCAUUCUUGACGCUGAGGCGCGAAGGCGUGGGGAGCGAACGGG